rnacentral:lncRNA from 1 species
GACAAAAAAGAAGAAGGUAACAAUGUGGGAGUACAGUGCUUUUUAUAGUUUCAACUCCAGGUCAAAGAUGUUAAUAAGUUAAUAAGUAUAUGGAACUCAGAAUCUCAUACUAGUAUAUGGAACUAGAAAUCUCAAACUCAUACACCGUAGAAUGUCAUGAUCUAAAUAUUUUGAAGGCUCUUACUCUAAUACUCACUAGCAUUCGAUCG